rnacentral:rRNA from 1 species
CCUACGGGAGGCUGCAGUGGGGAAUAUUGGACAAUGGGGGCAACCCUGAUCCAGCCAUGCCGCGUGUGUGAAGAAGGCCCUCGGGUUGUAAAGCACUUUCAGUGAGGAAGAACGCCUGGUGGUUAAUACCCAUCAGGAAAGACAUCACUCACAGAAGAAGCACCGGCUAACUCCGUGCCAGCAGCCGCUGUAAUACGGAGGGUGCGAGCGUUAAUCGGAAUUACUGGGCGUAAAGCGCGCGUAGGUGGCUUGAUAAGCCGGUUGUGAAAGCCCCGGGCUCAACCUGGGAACGGCAUCCGGAACUGUCAAGCUAGAGUGCAGGAGAGGAAGGUAGAAUUCCCGGUGUAGCGGUGAAAUGCGUAGAGAUCGGGAGGAAUACCAGUGGCGAAGGCGGCCUUCUGGACUGACACUGACACUGAGGUGCGAAAGCGUGGGUAGCAAACAGGAUUAGAUACCCGUGUAGUC